UUCAGUUUCUCCUGAACUAACCGUCUGUGGAAGCAUUCAUUUAGUCCGUCACCACUGAGGAGGUUCUGGAGGUCUUUCAGGAGCUUUCAGCGCUCUGUCUGAAUGAAUGCUGCUGCUCUGGAGGUACUUUUCCGCCGUGACACUGCAGAACGUUCACACCUCCAGCAGUAAUCGGAUUUUUCCCACCUCGAGCCAAACAAAGAGGGAAAACAGGACGUCUGAGCGUGAAGCUGCAGGAAUUCGCUGGCUGCAGGUCUGAAACAACACGGAGCUGUAAAUCUGUCUGUCAACGCCAGGUUGUUGACAAAGCACCAGUACAGACUAGAAAGCCUCCCACAGGAGCAGCCUGGCACUGACUCAUCCUGAAGAACGUCUGCAUGACUUCUACUGCUGGAUGUCUCUAAGUCUCAGUCAUUCAGGAUCCAACCACAAUGAUAGAUGAUAAAAUGAUAAAAACUUCAAUAAAAUAAACACAGCAGAAACAGAACAGAGGAGCAGGUUGUAGGAGAUCCAUCCAGCGUGGAGGAACAUCUACAGAUGAUGAGCAGAGUAGAGAGGAAACAUGGAGACAGAAAGACAUCUACAGGAUGAAGAGAUAAAACCACCACGAAGGGACAGCAAAUGACACAAAACAAAAACAAGACACAAAACGACAAAAACAAGACACUAAACUACAAGAAAAAGACACAAAAUGACAAAAACGAGACACAAAGUGACAAAAAUGACACAAAAUGAUAAAAACGAGACACAAAACAUAGAGAUGGUAGGACCUUCAGGAGGAACCAACUUCUUGGAAACACUUGGUUUCUCCUGAAGCUCUAUUUUUGCCAUUUUGUGUUUUGCUUUGUUGUUUUGUGUAGUGUUUUUGUCUUUUUUUAGUUGCUUUGUAACUUUUUGUCUCUUUUUUGUUUUGUUUCGUGUCAUUUGUCUCGUUUUUUAUCUCUCUUUUGUAAUAUUUUGUCUUGUUUUUGUCAUUUUUUGUCUUUUUUUGUGGUUUUGAUCCUCCAGUAAAUCCUCUCUGGUUCAGUUCCAGGUGACUAAAUGUUGUGUUCCUUUGUCAACACUCUGUGAUCUGGAAGUUGUAAUGUGGAAAUGAUGAACUGAGGCUGAAUGUUGAUGAAACUGAAUUUAUUUUUCUUCAUAAAUUUCAGGUUGUUCAUGAUGUUUAGUAAAAAGAUAAUUCCUGAAAUGUGAACAUUUUUGCACUAAAACAAAGGAACCAUUAGGAGUUGUGGUUAUUUAUAGGUUAUUAUGCUGUGGAUUUACUGGUUUUACUGGUGGAGAUCAGACUGGACUGAAUGAGGAACCUGGACUAAGGUGAUUCUCCUGGUUUAAAGGUUUGAUCCAGACUGAAAUCAGAGCUCAGAGAGAACAGCAUUAUGAUUUUAUUUCUUUCUGUCAUUGUUUUCUUCUCCAAUCAGGUCUUUAUGUUGAGUUUAAAAUGUUAUUAAUCAGAUAGUUACUGAGCAGACGGUUCAUUAAAGCCUCCACCUCAUCCAGUCUGGAGCUACAGCUGCAGAAUCACUGGGAUGGAUCUCAGCAACGGAAAAUGAAAGAAUUUUAUCUGUAAUUUUAAAACUACUUACUGUGAUUUUUAAAGGUUUUCCCUGUUUAAUUAAAUGUUUUUAGGUAAUUUAGUACAAAUGUGAAGUUGUUUUGGAUUGUUGUUCAUUUUCAAACAUCAGUAUUUUUUAAAUAUUUGAUUGUGAAAUUAUAUUUUUACUGAAUGUAAAUUAGGUAAAAAUCUAAUUAUUUACAGAUAUUUGUUGUCAUCUUCAGUUUUUAAAUGCUGCCAGUGCUGCCUCAUGUUUCUAUUAAACUGGA